AUUGUGUCAGCCGCCGCGCGGUAAUCCUAGCGGUCCAAGUCGCAGCCAACAUUAUUAGGUCUAAAACAUCCGUAGCUUGCCUUGUAAGUCUCUUGUGAAAUCCGGCAUCUUAAGUGUCGGGCGCGCAGGAGGUACUGCAUGGCUAGAGACUGGAGAGACGUAAGGAGUACGGUCAAAGUAGUGGUAAAAUACGUUAAUCUUGGCCGGACUUACAACAGCGAAGGCACCUUACGAGAACAGUUCUGACAGUGAGGGAUGAAGGCCAGGGGCGCAAAACGGAUUAGAUACCCGUGUAGUCCUGGCAGUAAACACUGCACACUAAACAUCGGGACCUCUUCGAGAGGUUUCGGUGCUGAAGGGAAGCCGAAGAGUGUGCUACCUGGGGAGUAUAGUCGCAAGGCCGAAACUUAAAGGAAUUGGCGGGGAGAUACUACAACGGGUGACGCGUGCGGUUCAAUGCGAUUCUACACAGGAAACCUUACCAGGACCGACAGCAGAAUGAAGGUCAGUCUAAAGGGCUUACCUGACACGCUGAGAGGCGUUACAUAUCCGACGUCAGCCUGUGUCGUGAGAUGACCUGUUAAAUCAGGUAACAGGCAAGACCCACAUGCAUAUUUACUAUGAGUACUAUAUGCAGAUUGCCUUGGUAACAAAGAUGAAAGCGUGGGCUACGUUAGGUGGCAUGGCCCGACAGCCCUGGGAUACACGCGCGCGUCAAUGGUGAAUACAGUGGGGAUGCAACUCUGAAAAGAGAAGCCAACCCCCAUAAAGUUCAUCCCAGUCCAGAUUGAGGUUUGCAACUCAGCCUCAUGACGAUGGAAUCCGUAGUAAUCGUUUGUUAGCAGCGAACGGUGAAUACGUCACUGUCUCUGCACACACCGCCCGUCAAAUCGUCGACUGCA
rnacentral:rRNA from 1 species